UAUGCUUAAAUUUCAAUUGUUACGCAGUUGUAAGGCUGAGACUAUUUCUAUUUUACUUUUUCAUUCCAUAAACAUUUAUUCAGCCCCUACUAUAUGUGUUUCAGGCACAGAGAAUCAGAAUUUUUUUUUCUUGCCUGUUUCAAUGCAAAAAGUUCCUACGUAAUGCUGAUCACAUUAAAGUUUGUUACCAUGGAAACAAGAGGACAGUCACAAUCAGAACUGGCAUCAAGUUGCAUUGAAAGUAAGGUACUGCUUCUGACAGCAAUUGAAAACAAUCUGAAUUCUGUACUGUUUAUAAAUCAAGGCAAUAAUCUUGUCUGUCUUGCACAGCCUUUCUUAUUUCCCCAUAAAAGUUGUAAAUGACUUUUGGAAAAAAAGUUUAUCUCUUGAAACGUAUUUUUUUUUAAAGUUCAAAUUAGAUUAAAAGGAACACAAUUUACUGGGCUUCACCAAUAUUUGACCUGGGAAAAAUUAGGCUACCCCAAAAUAGUAAUUUCAUGCAAAUGAAGUAAUUUACUGUCAUAUGUUUAAACAAAUGGUUGUUAAUUUUGGAACUUUUUUUCUUCUUUUGUAGCUUUCAUCCUUAUCCUUGUUUAUCUUAUUCAUAUUUUUUCUUUCUAUUGCAAGUUAUUCUCCAUAGUGCUAAAAAGAAAAAAGAAAGCAAACAUCAUCGGAAAUAUGAAUAAGGGACCUAAGUUAGAGUCCAGUUUAGUCUAUGUAGUAGUUAUGUGACUUAGGGCAAGCUAUUUUAUGACUGUGGGACUCAGUUUUCUCAUCUGCAAAAUGGGGGUGAUACUCCCUAAAUUAUUGAGAUUUAAAUAAGACAAUUUGUAGGAUGCCUGGUAUAUAACAAGUAAGGAGAUAGCCAGCCUCCAUAUCAAAUUUGUGAUAUAAGGCAAGAUGCUUGCCUUUCCCAGGCCUUCAUUUUUCAUAUAUCAAAUGGAGAUUUAAAACUUUUCAUUUACUAAACUCUUUGGAUUGUUGCAGGGGUCAAAUCCUUAUUUUUACAUUUUUACAACAUGUAAUUCCCAUUCAUUAUAAGAUAGUAUCAUCCUGUUAUCCUGUCUCCUUUCUUAGUUGCAGUCUCUCUUGGUAUUUUCAUUUAUUCCUAGUUCUUUUUCUUGUUUCUUUUUCUUUUUCCUUUUCCUUUUUUUUUUUUUUUUUUUUUUUUAGAAGGAGUCUCGCUCUGUAGCUCAGGCUGGAGUGCAGCGGCGCCAUCUUGGCUCACUGCAAGCUCCGCCUCGCGGGUUCACGCCAUUUUCCUGCGUGAGCCUUUCUGCUAGCUGGGACCACAGGAGCCCGCUACCACGCCCUGCUAAUUUUUUUGUAUUUUUAGUAGAGACGGGGUUUCACGUGUUAGCCAGGAUGGUCUCGAUCUCCUGACCUUGUGAUCGGCCCACCUCGGCCUUCCAAAGUACUGGGAAUACAGGCGUGAGCCACCGCACCUGGCCCCUACUUUUAUAAAGGAUUUCUCAUCUUUUUCUUUAUAGACAUCUUUACACGUCUCUUUCUCUCUACUAUAGCUUUCCUGUUGUUGUAUUUUUGUUUCUCUGUUAACUAUAAAGUUUUAGAGUAUUUCUUUUAUUUGUCCUUAUUCCUUAUGAAUUAUGUAGUUAUUUCUAUUAUGAAAACUUUAAAAACCAGAAAUAUUAAAUUAGGUAUUAAUUAAUGUUUAAUUAUAGGUUUAGUUAAACCUAUUAAUUAAUUAAACUAUUACUAAUGAAAAGGCUAGCAAUGUGGAAUUGCAUUGGAAAAAUAAAACAUAAGUUGAAACAGAUGCUGCUCAUGAGCUAUAUAGCUCAUAUGUCUAACUCUUUUAUAUCUGGAUUAGAUGUUUAAUUUGGAAAAAAAUGCAUUCUUUUUGUAAAUAUUCAAAUAUUGCUAAAAGGUCUAAGAAGAAAAUAAAUAUCACCUGAAUCUAAUACCCUAGAGAUCACUACUGUAAAUAGUUUGAUGAACUUGUCAUGAAUCUCAAUGUAUAUAUGUGCAUAUUAGAUAUGUAUAAUUUCACAUAAAUGGGCUCAUUUAUACAUAUUUUAAAGUCUACUUAUUCACUUAAUUUAUUGUUGCACUAAUUCCAUGUUAAUGUAUAUGUAUUGUAUCUCAAUUUUAAUGGCUGCAUAAUAUUCCAUUGUAUAGAUGUAUCAUAAUAUAUUUAAUAAAUUCCCUAUGGGUGGACAUUUAGGUUACUUGCCCCUUUCUGCUAUAAUAAAAAUGCUGCAGAGAAUAACCUUUGUGCCCAGAUCCCUUUAGAAUAAUGGCUAAAAAUAUAAUUAAUGAAUGAGUUCUUAAACAUAUCCUAACUUUUGCAUUUUCUUCUUUAUCCAAACACUAAGGAAUUUUUUUUUUUUUUUUUUUUUUUUUUGAGACAGAGUCUCGCUCUGUCACCCAGGCUGGAGUGCAGUGGCGUGAUCUCUGCUCACUGCAAGCUCUGCCUCCUGAGUUCACACCAUUCUUCUGCCUCAGCCUCCCGAGUAGCUGGGACUAUAGGCACCCGCCACUACGCCUAGCUAAUUUUUGUAUUUUUAGUAGAGAUGGCCGUGUUAGCCAGGAUGGUCUUGGUCUCCUGACCUCGUGAUCCACCCGCCUUGACCUCCCAAAGUGCUGGGAUUACAGGCAUGAGCCACCACACCCGGCCAGAAUUUUUCUUUCUUUUUGUACAACUCAGACCAUGUGACAACUUAAAGUGAAAUUCAACAUCAGUGCUGUUGUAGGUAAAACUGCCUGAAGCAGGACACUUGAGAAGUGUAGAAAGCUUUGUUUUUCCAUUAAUUUUCCCUAAGUUAAACAUUCCUACCAUAGAAAUAAUAGCACAUAUAAAAAUAUUUCCUUAUCCUACAAAUCAAUAAAAAUAAAGACUCUUCAGCUGGUCUCUAUGUCUGUUUUAACUUACCUACCUAAUUAUAUCUAUUAUAAUUAGCCAUAUCAUCAAUGUCGUUAGCUCUUCACUAUGGGUAAGAGCUAAAUAUUUUAACCCAUAGAAGGUCCUACUUCCAAGCUCCAGGAACUUACAUUCCUUCAUCAAGAGGGUUUUAGAACGACUGGAAAAUGUCUAGCAUGGUGAGUAGGCUAAGUAAGAAUGUUCUAGCCAGGAAGAUAGCAGGGAAAUCAGUUUUCCCUCACAUGCUUGUGCCUGAGGGGAUUUUGCUAUCUCAUGUCCAUGAAAACAGGUACAGAAUCUAUAAUUCUCAAGAAAGGAAAAAGGUAAAAUAAUAUCAAAGCAGCUACCGGUUUCCUGGUCCAUUCUCUACUUCUAGAGAAAGCAGUAACUGACAGAAUAAUAUAAUGUCAGAGACUUUUGUUUCCUUUUUCUCCUUCAAAUGGAUCCACUUUACUGAGAGGAAGGCUAUGCACAUUCACUCUUGCUGACUGAUAACUCUGAACUGUGCUGUUACACCCUUGCCAUCUCUCUCUCUUGGAAAAGAUGGUUUUCUGCCUAUAGAGAGGACAGGAAGAACAAUUUCUUAUCCUUGUCAGUGCCCAACACAUUUUAAACUUAAUCCUAAAAUCUAAAACAGCAAAGUCACAGAGGACCGCAUUUAAGGAAAGAAAAGUCCUUGUCUGUCUUUGAACAGAGCACCCUCAAAAGCUGAGAGUGACACCUUAGGGUCAUGCCAGCCUGUACCGACAACCAUAGUUCCAAGGCCAAGUUUAGGCCAAAGAAGAUUUUAUAAUUGAGGCAGAGCAUAAGAACUAGCUUUUUGGAUCCACGUAGUUAAAUGGAUCCACACAUUGAAAUGGCAAUGUCUGUGCCUUUAAAACACCAAUCAGGUCGAAGUGGCUUGCGAAAAGGCUACUAAAAAACAGAAGAGGAAAAAAAUGUGGUUAGCUCCCCAUUUUCAUAAUUAUUUCUCCCAUUUCCUCCUCUCCAUAGCUUCUCAGACCCAAAAAAAAAAAAAAAAAAAAAGCUUUUAAUCCUUGCUCUGUGCAGUUAUAGUGGAAACCUAAAGGAAACCUAAAUCUGGAUAGUACUAUGAUAAAUAUUGUAAGAUUUAUGCACUCAUCCCACUGAUAUUUAUCAAGUGUUUAGCUCAUACGUGCAAGGUACUAUCUAAAGCCGAGUGCGGCAGGCCUCUGUACACAGAGCAGGAUUCAUGCUCUGUAAAAACUCACAGCAUGAAAGAUAAGCUCAGAUAUUUAUGAUACAAGGCAAUAUAUUUAAAGUGUCAGUUCAGUGCCAUACUCAGUAUAAAAAAGAGAGGAGUCACCCACGGAAUGUGUUGAGAAAAGGCAUGUAGAGGAUACACCAUUUUUACCAGGCCAGGAACUAUAGCAAACUUAGGACUUCUGUAUCUCGAUUUUUUUUUCUUUUAUUGAUACAUAAUAUUUUACAUCUUUAUGAGAUGCAUGAGUGUUUGUUACACGCACAGAAUGAGAGAUGAUCAAGUCAGGGUAUUUGGGGUAUCUGUCACCUCGAGUAUUUACCAUUUGUAUCUGUGGGUAUCACUUCAUGUCUUCUCUUCCAUUACUUUGAAAUAUACAAAAUAUUGUUGCUAAGUACAAUCACUGUAUUCUACUAUCAAAUAUUAGAACUUACUGUCCAGGCGCGGUGGCUCACGCCUGUAAUCCCAGCUCUUUGGGAGGGCCGAGGCAGGUGGAUCACCUGAGAUCAGGAGUUUGAGACCAGCCUGGCCAACAUGGUGAAACACCGUCUCUGCUAAAAAUACAAAAAUUAGCAGGGCGUGGUAGCAAGCGCCUGUAAUCCCAGCUAUCUGGGAGGCUGAGGCAGGAGAAUCGCUUGUGGUUGCAGUGAGCCGAGAUCAUGCCACUGCACUCCAGCCUGGGCAACAGACACUCUGCCUCAAAAAAAAAAAAAAAAAAAAAUUAGAACUUUCUAAAAUAAUUUAAAAUGGAAUAAAAGAUAUCUUAGAAGAAUUAAAUCCUGAAGUACUAAUUUAGUAUCCUGAAAAAGUUAAUAAGGUAAACAAAAUAAAUGGCCUGGCACAUAGUAGGUGCUCUAGAACUGCUAAAACCCUUCUGUGGGAACUUUUUUUUUUUUUUUUCCAUUCUCCAGGGCAGUGAUUCUCAAGCUAGAUACACAACAGAAUCAUCUGGAGGACUUGUUAAAACAGAAUGCUAAGCCCCAUCCCCAGUCUCCAAUUCUGUGGAUCUGGGGCAGAGUCCAGUAAUUUGCAUGUGUGAUGCCGCUGCUGCUGCUGUUCUUGGAAGCACACCUUGAGAACCACUGCCUGGGGAACAGCUUAGCUGCUAUGAGAAUCUGAUUCUGUGUUCAUAUUCCGUAUCACAGAUAGCUCUUGGCUUUUCAAUUGUGGUUUCUUUUUUUAAUGUCUUACUAAGGGGGAAAAAAAGGAACGCCACUUUAUAUAAACCUGACCUUUUGGUAAGCCUGGGUAGUAACUUCCCAUGUGGAGUAAAUUAAUCUCUUUCAUGCAUGCCUCGUGCUCUGGAAAAAGUAAAACAGAUUGUGUUAGACAUUUACCAAGUACUUUUUCUGUUGGUGGUCACUGCCCUAAGCCUAUCAGAACUGGUUUCUACCCUUAAGAAGCUUACAAUGUAGUAAGGCGGACAUCCCAACAAACCAGACAUUGGAGUUCAUUGUGUGAGGUGCUAUGAUGGAUUAUAAGACAUUAUGAUUGACUGAGUAUUAUGAAGGGGUGAAGCAAACUCAAGCUGGCAAAUUAGGGAGGAGGUAGAUCACACAGGCUUUCCUAAUGGGAUUACUUAUGACUCAUUGAGUAGUGAAAGAUGAAUAGGACUUUACUAAACAGAAACUGGAAGGGCUUUCUGGGCUAAGGGAACAGCACAGAAGCAUCAAAUACACUUUACCUUUCUAGGGCUGCCAGUAGUUUAAUUCAGCAAUACCACAUCACAAAGGUCUUUGUGUGCUUUGCUAAUGAGUUUGAACUUUAUCAUAAAAGCAUUUUACAAAGAUCACACUGGCAGCUGCAUUUUGGAAGGGAUUUGCCUAGAGGUAGGAUAACUGCGGGGGGUAUGUCUAUAGCAAUAAAAGUGAGAAAAUAUGAGAUCUGAAGGAGCUAACAUUGUGGCAGUGGCAGUGGGUAUAAAGGAGAAGGGAGGACUAGAAGAGAUAUUUAAGAUGCAAACAAUGUAGGAACUGGGUGAUUAUAGAACUGAAAAGUGAGUGAGAGGGAGGAAUCCAUGAGAACUCACAUAUUUCUGGUUAGGAUAAAAGACUGAUUGACUGACAUGAAGACUACAAGAGAAAAAAACAGACUUGGAGUUGAAACUUCAGUUUAGGACACUGAAACUGAAUGAUGUGUCAUUCAAGUGGAAAGGCCAUUAGGCAGUUAGAUAUGUAGGCUUAGAGCACAGGAGAAAGGUCUUAAAACCCUGGGCUUAUGGGACGUUACCACGGAGACUGCACAGAGUGAGAAGAUCCAUUUUAAAGCUGAUGAUGAAUAAUAUUUUCGUUAUAAGGAGAGAAGCAAUGUUAGGGGUGUCUUCCCAUUGCUGGAGUGGGUCAUUUGCAGUAUGCAGUGCAUAAACUCACAGGCUGUCCUUAUGAUGACCUUUUGUUCAUUCUUACAUUCAGUAUACAGAUGAACAAAGGAAGUAUUUUAUGUCUUGUAAAUUACAAGGGACUAUGCAGUAUGUAAGGGAAGAUACAGGAGAGUAAGGGAAGGAGAAAGAGGGUGACUAACAAGCUUCUCAGAGAUUAGCCAAGAACUAUGGCAUUGAAUCUAGGUCUCUCCUGUCCUCAAUUUGACACUCUCCACUCCCCUGACAUGUUUUGUAUUAAAAUAUAUUUUUCUUUUUAUGAACAUGUCAUACCUAUGGCUCACCUGUGUCCUUGCUAACCUACAGGUUUGGACAAUCUGGAAUUGGCAGCAUGCAUGACUGUGGAGCUUUAAAGCCACCCUCCUGAGAGAAGAGCAGCUGACUCAUGUACCUCACCAUGCAGAUGAGGGUGUGUUAUAACCCACAGUGUGUCUGUGUCCCUGGAUGAACUGAGCACUUUAUAAUGGAGUUUUUCUGCAUCUCAAAAAGAAGUCACAGAUUAAAUGGUAACUGCAAGAGCUCAUUUCUCUAUUUGAGUGAGUGCUUUAUCAAAAAAAUAUUUUAUUCCUGCUGCUUUACCACAGGGUCAAUUCAAGUCUAAAUGAAUCUGGCAUGUAUAAAAUAUAUUUUUAUAUAGCUCCAUAUAGAGAUAUAGCUCUACACAGCCAUUAACAGACUCACACACAAUCAUUCUUUUAUUCCAGGUGUGAACUGCUAUGCUAUUUCACCCAGUUCAAACACAGGUCAUUGGCUUUCAAACUAAUUUUGGAAAGCAGACACUGUGUAGUUGGUAGGUGGAAUAAAAUGAAAACAAAAAAUUAAUAUGCAUGGCAGUUUAACUAGCUGUGUAUCUCUCAUGGAAAGGGGGUAAUAGUCUAAAAUUAUUUACUCAUUUUUUUUUAAAGUCUUUAAAAGAAGGCAAUGAAUUGCCAGUAAUUUCCCCACCUUAACUCAUGGUAAUUUGUUUCCUGCUGGGUGAAAACGCAGGGAUCUUGAAACUGUUAAUGAACUUUCUUUCUCCUGAUCUGUACAAUGUCAAAUUCAUUUCUUUUUUUCUUACUUCAGGUUUUACUAUUCUGUUUUGUUUGUUCCAUUUUUGUAUUUUUUCCUGAGGUCAGGGAUGAUUCUAUGGAAGCAUGAAAAUUUGUAGUUGAAAGGGAUCUUAGAACUUCAGCAAGAUUUGUGAUAGAUGGUCAAGUGGGUCUGGGCUCGCACCCUCCCUAAGGUGAAAGACUCACUGCCUUACCCCACAGCUAUUUCACUACUUACAGACUACCACACAAUAGCCAGGGUGCUGCCCUAUUUGCAACAUGAACUGGAACAUUAUAUUGGGACAUAAUGAUGAGUGGUAGCUAAAAGUCCUUUCCCUCUGGUGUUGUUAUUUGGUUAAAUUGAUUUACAUAAUGUUAUUCUGUGGUAUAAACCUUUCUCAUUUAUCUCAUAUAUAUCCCAUUUUAAGCUAUAAGCUCCCAGAGGGGUAGGUACUUCAUCAUUACUUCUGUACUCAAGUAUUUUGCAUAUCUUUGAUACAAAGUAAGAACAAUGUAUAUGUAUAUCAGUUUAACUCUCAGAUGAAUGAACUAAUAAAACUUGUAACAGUAUUUUCCAAUGUAGUGAGUACAUUAAGCAUCAUUAAUAUUAAAAUGCAAAUUAAUGCAUUAUUUGCAAGUUUUCAAAUCAUGUGUACUUAAGAAUUUUCUUUUAAAAUGUAUCAAAAGACUGAACAUUCAAGCUGAUUAUCAUAAAAAGUGUAUGUAUGGGGGUAAUAUUCAAAAUAUUUAACAACCCAGAAGAACAUGGGAGCUGUAAUUCCCACAAAUCACCAUGUGAAGGUGAUUCCAGGGAAGAGUCAGUCAACAGAGAAUAGCCACUGAUGGAAGGGAAGUGGGGUCUGGUGGCAGGUGAUGGAUAGAUCACUAAACAUUUGUCCAAGAGAGUGCUAGUGUUGCCGCUAGGGGUGAAUAUUUCUGUUGGGGUCCAGGUCUGCUCUGGCUGGGGAGGUGUGGGGAAGCAAGCAGGAAUGGGGCUGCAAAAGGCUGGCUAGGGUAGCCCACAGUGGUAUCUGCCCAGGAAUCCCUGGGGUCUGGGCAGGGUAGUGGGAGGCACUGGUUGAGGGAAAAGGAAUAAUAGUUUUUUUCCCUGUUUGUCAGCUGAGUUAGCAGCCCUGGUUUUGAGAAAUAUUAAAAUAUGCCUUUGAUUUUUGGGGAUAUCAAUGAGUUUUGCAAUGAAGUAGAGGGGAUCACCAGUUUAAGACUUACUGAUCAGUAUGGGCAACAUGGCAAAAUCCCACCUCUACAAAAAAAUUAAAAAUUUGCUGGAUGUGGCAGCAUGCACCUGUAAUCCCAGCUACUCAGGAGGCAGAAGUGGGAGGAUCACUGGAGCCAGGGAGGUCAAAGCUACAGUGGGCUCUGAUUGUGCCACUGUACUCCAGCGUGGGUGGCAGAGCAAGACCUGUCUCAAAACAAAACAAAAAACAACAAAAACAAAAAAGACCUGAUCUACUGAGCAAACAAACUACCAUCACAAAUAAAUCAGAACUUGAAAAAUAAUGACUGUAGGCCAGGCGCGGUGGCUCAUGCCUGUAAUCCCAGCACUUUGGGAGGCCGAGGCAGGCGGAUCACGAGGUCAGGAGAUUGAGACUAUCCUGGCUAACAUGGUGAAACCCCAUCUCUACUAAAAAUACAAAAAAUUAGCUGGGCGUGGUGGCGGGCCCCUGUAGUCCAAGCUACUCGGGAGGCUGAGGCAGGAGAAUGGCGUGAACCCGGGAGACGGAGCUUUUAGUGAGCGGAGAUCAAGUCACUGCACUCCAACCUGGGCGACAGAGCAAGACUCCAUCUCAAAAAAAAAAUAAUAAUAAUAAUAAUAAUAAUGACUGCAUGUAUGUACUUGGCAUGAUCAUUAUGAAGGCAUUCUUCACUGUACAAGAAGAGUCACAAUGAAAUUCUUUUAGCUCAAGCAAUUUGAGUGGAUUUAAAUUAUUUUUCAGUAAGGAACUUGGUUUCAGAUACAACUUUUCAAGAAUAUAGCUACUGAGUAGAACAAAGUAUGCUGAUGUCCACUCUCCAGGUCUUCAAAAUCAAAGCAGAAUUGAAAUCUGCGGCAAUUUUUCUAAUUUUUUAGUUUUAUCUUGAAGCUGUUUGUUUAAAUUAUCUCUCCAUCUUACUGUUAGAUUAGAAGACAUACUUUUUGCCAGAAAUACUCACUUCAAUUGCACAGGAAAAAGUGAGGUUUCUUGAUUCAAAUUAGAUAGAAAAUUCUGUUUUGACAAUAUAGCCAAGGUCAGAUAUGAUUUCCCUACAAUCUCUAAUCAUGUUGAAUUUUAUAAUACAAGUUUAAAUGACCUCAAAAAAUUUGUACUACAUUUCAGAGGCAACUGUAACUUCCUUCAUGAACAUUAGCAAAUAAUCUUCAAAAAUUGGAAUGUGACCUCAGUCAUCCUCCUCCUUCUCCCUUCCCCUUUUCACUUCAACCUUAAUGUACACACUUGCAAAUUUUCUUCCACUUAUAUUUUCCUUUAAAGGCCACUUUCUAGCAGACAAUUCAACUAACUGCUGUAUUUUUCCAUAUAUGAUGCCAGGGAAUAGAAACAAGUGAGAUAGUUUCUUAUAUGAUAUAAUUGUUUCCAUUAAAAACUCAGGAAAGCAGGAACCAAUCCAUCAACAAGGGCGAAUGAAAGAUCGUGUAAUCCACAAACUUUAACUUUUGAUCACUUAUAAAAUUUAAAACUAAACAAGCCAUAAACUAAAGUGAUGUUAACUGUCAAGGUGUGGGGGUUUUUCUUUUUCAUUCACUGCAGACCUGUUAAACUUUGUGCUCUCUACAGACCUUGCUGUCCACACCAAAAAUGCAAUUACAGUUCUCCUUGUCUAUUUUAAUCUCACAUUAGUUUAUUAACCAGAAAUUAAGUAAGGGCACUCACUCUUUAGCACAUUUUUUUGUAGAUGUGUGAGUUUAAUACUGUUUUCUACAACGUUUAUUAGAACACUUGACAUGGGAAAUAGAAGAAUAUCAAGAAACCAUGAGAUGCCAUUAUACCAACAAAAACAAAAUGCAGGCUUUGUGUGCUACAAUCUUUUUCUCCAAAAGUGAAAAUAAACACUAAUGAAUGAUUCCUUUUGCCUUGAAGAACUAAAAAUUUCUUAGUUGAAGUAUCUAACUGGAGAAAUCUUUAAACAUGUGAGAAAUGUAUCUGGGGCCUACAAUUUAAAGAGAAGAGGAACACAUUAAGUCAUGAACCCACUAGACCAACCAACAUUUGUCCUCUACGUUCUGAAGUCCAGCUGGAUUCACAAGGGUCGCUGAUCAUUCCUCAUUGAGCUAUUAUAUGCUAGUGAUUCACUCCUGCUUUCUUUUACAUUUUCGACCUCUUCCUCUCUACUUGCUGAUUUACCUCUGCUUUAUAAAAGUGGUUAUUUUAACCUAGAAAACAAAAAUUUGAGAUUUUUUGGUCUCUAACUUUCUUCUAAUGGACGACUUUCUUCUAUAUACCAUAUAUAAGUUAUUUCCACUUCCUCAUCUCCUACUUAAUCCACAAUUGUCUUCCUUUUUCAAAACUUUACUGAAAGUACUUAUCAUUUUGCCCUCUAGAUAAUCAACUAUAUCCUUCUAUCAAACUUUUCUUUCAGUUCUCAUCCUCUUACAUCUUUCUGCUGCAUUUGAGACUAUAUAAUAUCACUUCCAUUCUUAAAACUCCUUUCUCCCUUGCCAACUGGCUGAAGGAAAGUCGUUUCUCCACUCAUACACUCAAAAUGUAGCCAUUUCUUGAUGUGUACCACUUUCAAUUUGUCUGUUUAGCAAGAUCUUCCACUCCCACAAAUUUCUUCCUCAAAGACAUAUGUGUAAUUUCAAAAUCACUGUUCCUGAAUAUGAAUCCUCUCCAGAGGUGCAGGUCCAUAUUUUCAACCACCCAAUAAACACUUCCAUUUGGAUAUUUUAUCUCCUAAUAUCUCUAACAACAUAGUCCGUAUCAAACUUAUCACCAUCUUCAGCCUGUUUUUCUUCUGUUGCUUUUGCUUCUUUUAAUGGUUUCAUCUUUCCAAGUUAACAAUAGUUUCUUCUCAUUGGUUCUCAACACUGAAUUGAUAAGCUCUUUUCCACAGGUGAGAUUUGGAAACCUAACAGUGAAUCUGCAAUUCUUCUUUAUGAUUGCAAUACUGGGUUUUGAGGUGUCAACAUCAGUCUGAUGGUGCUAAAGUAACUGUGACACCAUUUGGUUUGGCUUACAAAUAGUUUCUGAGCUCCUACUGUGUAAGACCAGAACUCUGCUAGCAAAACACCAUUAGUUUUUCAGGAAUAUUAGCAACCGCAGUUUAGAAUUGAUGAAAGAAAAAUAUGAAUUUGGAUCAAUGUCUUAUCUUUCUUACAAAAUCUCCAUAAAUAUUCCUCUCCCAUGAAGAAUCAGUCUCUUCAGUUACUCUAACUCAUCACUCUAUAAUAAUAUUUACUCAGAACCUGUAAUGUGCUGAACAUUCUAAUCACUUUAGAAAUGUUUUAUAUGGUAAUCCUCUUCACUAUCCUAUGAAGUACUCAUCAUUGAUUGUUGAAUUGUGCCGUAUAUGGCUGGAUGGAGUUGUGCAGUGCAUAGUCUAUGCAACCAUAUCUCUUGCCCCAAUAAGACCCAUUUCACAGUUGAAGAUACUGAGCCACAGAGAAAGGUUAAGGAACUUGUCCAAAGUCACACAGCUACUAAGUCAGGAUUGAGUGAGUAUUCAAACCAUGAAAACCAACAUUUUGACAUGACUCUCUUCUCUUAACAGAUAUAUGAAACCACGUCUACUCAUAUUUCUACUGUAGCACCUAUUGUAAAUAUUUGCCUUUGUGCUUGUUCCCUUACUUAGAAUAUGAAUCCCACGAACUGGCUAGCCAUGUGCAGAAAAUUGAAACUGGACCCCUUCCUUCAAACUUACACAAAAAGUAAGAUGGAUUAAAGACUUAAAUGUAAAAUCCCAAACUUUAAACACCUUAGAAGAAAAUCUAGGCAAUACCAUUCAGGAUAUAGGUGCAGGCAAAGAUUUCAUAGGAAAACACCGGAAGCAAUUGCAAAAAAAGCAAAAAUUGACAAAUGGGAUCUAAUUAAACUAAAGAGCUUCCGUGCAGCAAAAGAAACUAUCAUCAGAGUGAAUAGACAACCUACAGAAUGGAAGACAAUUUUUGCAAUCUAUCCAUCUGACAAAGGUCUAAUAUCCAGAGUCUACAAGGAACUUAAAUUUGCAAGAAAAAAACCCCAAACAACCCCAUUAAAAAGUAGGCAAACAACACGAACAGACACUCCUCAGAUGAAGACAUUCAGGGGGCCAAAACACAUAUGAAAAAAAGCUCAACAUCACUGAUCAUUAGAGAAAUGCAAAUCAGAACCACAAUGAGAUACCAUCUCAUGCCAGUCAGAAUGGCUAUUAUUAAAAAGUCAAGAAACAACAGAUGCUGGUGAGGUUGCAAAGAAAAAGGAAUGCUUCUAUGCUGUUGGUGAGAAUGUAAAUUAGUUCAACCAUUGUGGAAGAGAGUGUGGCAAUUCUUCAAAGUUCUAGAAGCUGAAAUACCAUUUGACCCAGCAAUCCCGUUACUGGGUAUAUACCCAAAGGAAUAUAGAUCAUUCUAUUAUAAAGAUACAUGCAUGCGUAUGUUCAUUGCAGCACUAUUCACAAUAGCAAAGACAUGGAAUUAACCCAAAUGCCCAUCAAUGGUAGACUGGAUAAAGAAAAUGUGGUACAUAUUCACCAUGGAAUACUAUACAGCCAUAAAAAGGAAUAAGAUCAUUUCCUUUGCCGGGACAUGGAUGGAGCUGGAAGCUGUUAUCCUCAGCAAACUAACGCAGGAACAGAAAACCAAGCACUGCAUUUUCUCACUUAUAAGUGGGAGCUGAAUGACGAGAACACAUGAACACAUUGCGGGGAACAACACAGAGUCAGUCCUGUCGGAGGGAGCAGGGGGAGGGAGAGCAUCAGGAAGAAUAACUAAUGGAUGCCAGGUUUAAUACCUAGGUGGUGGGUUGAUCUGUGCAGCAAACCACCAUGGCACAUGUUUACCUAUGUAACAAACUUGCACAUUCUGCACAUGUACCCCUGAACUCAAACAUUGAAGAAAAAGAAAGGAAUAAGAAUCCCACUAGGGGAAAAAGAGAUUUAAGUUCUUAAACUGUUAGUAUUAGUAUAUAAGAAGGGCCUAGAAUCUUGCAUAUAGUGGGUUUUCAAUAAAUUCUAGCUAUUAUCAUUCUUUUUAUCUUUUUUUUUUUUUUUUACAGAUUUGUCACAAAGUAAGGUGCUAAUUAAUGUUUGUUGAAUAAAUUACUAUGCCAAUUCCCCAAUGUGUACAAAAUGAAUAUACAUAUGACCUAGUCUCAGGAAAAAUGUAUAUGUGGAGAGGAUGAAAGAUAAUUUUUUUCCAUAUAAGCUUCCUCAUCUAACCUGUUUCAUAUCCAGUUUCUGGGACAGAAAUUGAUUAAACUAUUCUAACGUGGAACUAAGCAAUUUAAACUUAUAUUUACAUGGUCACCAUAUCAGCCGGUGAUCUCAAUAUGGCCCUCAAAUUUUGCUGUCAUGGAUAGUUGUAUAUUCCAGUGCCAGAAAAAAGUAACAAUAUAUUCACGAGAGAGCAGCCUGAUGCGCUGCUCUAGAGAUGAAAAUAAAUUGAUAUAAAUGGAGAUACUGAGCAAAAAAAUCAGCAGCUAGCACUUAUCAGAUGGGAAGUGAAAAGAUGUUAACUGAGCUUACAAGAAUGAAGAAUAUUGUCAUCAGAUAGUUGUAUAAAGAGGACCCCACAAAACCUGUUAUUAUAAGAGCAUUACAUCAUGGGAGAAAGUGAAAAGCAAUAGCUCUCUUAAAUGUAUUUGAUUAAUAACGUCUGCUAAACUUCUCCUUAACAAAUGACCACAGUCAGAAAUAUAUAUGUCCCAAAGAGAAGCUGAUGGUAACUAAGAGGCCCUUUGGGGGAAAUUCAUCUGACAAAACCCCUCUGGAGGAUGUACAGGGGAUUAUGUGAAUGCCUAUGUCUACUUCUAUCCUUGCAUGGUAUAACUUUUUUAAAGUAAAGCAAAGCUCAAAGUUUGAUGCCUUACUAAUGGCCAGUGUCUUGCCAAUGGUCCUUUGAUUACAACUGGCAUUCUAAAGCAAAAAUAAACUAAGAAAAUUUAAUUUCAUAUAAAUGUAUUAUAGAGACAUCUACUUUUUUGUCUUGUCUUUAGUUUUAAAAAAAUUAAGAGUAGAAUUGGUAAAUACAAUAUUUAUUUGAGAAUCAUCAUGGUCCCGACAGACAAUCUAGCGUUAAGUAGAUUGUUCUACGGUAAUUGAACUACAAAACAAAAUCAUUAAAUACUCAGACACCUUAUUAAGUGAAAGAAUCAAGCAUCAACAUUAUCUUUCAAUGUUCUCAUUUUCAUAAUACUCUUCUGCUACAUUCUGUUGCUUGAUCCCAUGUUAAAAGAUUAAAUGGCUAAAAAGUUAAGAAAUCCCAACCCUUCAUUUUAAUACUAACUCAUAGUUCAUAAAAGGAAGGGCUUAUCAGCUGAAUCAUUAAAUACACGUUGCUUGCAAUUUUGUGCAGUGGAACGGAGACACUGAAUCCCAAAAGGGCCCUACAUAAACUCUGAGAGUAAGCGAAAUGGUAUCCUGAUACACUUUCACCAUGUCACUGAAAUAAUUAAGUUGGGUAUUAUAAAUCUGAAUGACAAAUCUUGGAAACCACCUGAAAAACCACAGGAAAUAUUCUAUCCUUGUUCAAUAUAUGGAAAUAGUUGAUGCAAAAAGAAACAGAAGUAGAAAAAAAUUAGAUCUCAGAGCAAAUGUACAAUAUUUUUUAACAUGAUCAGGGUAACUGUUACUUGAAGCUGGAUAUCUGCUGAUUUUGCAGAUUAUGUUAAUUGGCUACUAUCUAGAACAAGGUAUAAAACAGAUAAAUGGGAGGUCGAGGCGGGUGGAUCACCUGAGGUCAGGAGUUUGAGACCAGCCUGGCCAACAUGGUGAAACCCAGUCUCUUCUAAAAAUACAAAAAUUAGCUGGACAUGAUGACAGGCACCUGUAAUCUCAGCUACUCGGGAGGCCGAGGCAGGAGAAUUGCUGGAACCUGGGAGAUGGAGGUUGCAGUGAGCCAAGAUCGUGCCCUUGCACUCCAGCUCGGGUGACAACAGCGAGACUCUGUCUCAAAAAAAAAAAAAAAAAAACAACCAAAAACAGAUAAGCACAUUUUCCAAAUGACCUGUAGGAUGAAAAUCAAACUGCCAAGCAACAAAUGGUAAUACCAUUAUUAUUCACGUAAUAUUAAUUCUGACUCUUCAUUAGCCUCCAAUGUGAAUUUAAAUUAAGGUAUAAAGCUGGUAAAUAUGUGGCAUUCAAACACUUGUGUAUUAUACAUUUAAAUUAAUUUUAAUUAUUUUCAGAAGCACGGCGAAACUCAAAAGGUUUUUCUACUAUACAUUAAAUUAAGGUAAUUCUGGAAUGAUGAUACCUAAACACAGAAUCACAUCUUUAAAGUCAAAAAUAUAAUUUUUCUACUAAUAAGCCAAGCCAGCACAUGUUGAAUUUUUAAUAUGUAUGCUCUGAUAAUUAAUUUUGUAUUUUUCCAAUUACAUGGCUAUCGCAGUGUACUUAGAGACAGAAAACCGUCAUGGGGAAAGGGGAAAGGUGACCAUGGUAUGUGUAAAGCCUGUUUCAUUUUCUAAACAUCUUUGAGAACUAUGUUAAAUUUUAGUACUUUAGUCAUGAAAUGACAGAAUGAUAGAAAAAGACUUGGAGGGACAUCAAAGCAUUUAGUUCUACCUGAAACUUGGCUUUCUAAAAAUACGACUGGGAAAAAGACUAUUGUGUUUAGACCACAGAUUUUUAGUUAAAUCUUUGAACUCUAUGCAAAGUCUAAGUAAUACCACUUUUAUUUAACUCUUCAGUCUAUAUAGUCUUCAAGGAUAACUGUGCUUUUAUAUAAUUAUCCGGAUUACAAAUUUAACUACAAUAGGCAGACUCUUAUUGUCAAGGAACAGAUCCUUAUACUUAAACAUUGCUUAGAAUCUUCGUAGGCACUUCAUAAAUGUUUGCAGAAUCCCAUAUAACUCACGAAUGAAUGAGUGACCUGCAACUGCUGAUGGAUUUGAAAUAGAGUCCAGAUUUUUAAUGCAUCUAUAAAUGUAACUUUCCUAACUUGAUUCUGUGAGAAGUCUAGAGGCACCUAAUUUAAGAGAAGAAAAUGAUAUGUUUAUAAUCAUUAAACAUCUUGCUCUGGGUAUUUAUUUAAAUUAAUAAAAAUUCAUAAACCUAGCUAACCUGCGACAGUUUUAAGGGAAUAUGUGCAAUACAAAGUGUAGGUAGAAUAGAGUAGUAUGAUUACGUUUACUUUUAGAGUAUGUAUUUUAUUUGGCAUCAUGUAUUUAUUGGUGUGCCUAACAUUCUCAGUGAACUGGGUAUACACAUCAUACAUUCAAAGGGGCAGAAUGUUCUCUCUUAAAAAAAAAUCAUUUUAAAGUCUUUUGAUUACCAAAUGCCCACUUUUUAAUGUAAAACUACUCAAGAUGUUUUGAAGGGACUGGGAAUAAAUAUCAACUAAAUUAAUCAUUACAAUCAGGGAAAAUCAGUUAGAAAGGGCCUUAGAGAUCCUCUAAGCUCUCUCACUUUUCUCUCACUGCUUUUUAUAAGCAGUGUAUUUUUAUUACUUUGUUAGCCGUUGGCAGAGAAUGAACAUUGAGUAUCUUUGGACAAUUUCUUCUUAAUGGCUGGUGCCUAUUUUGUCCUAUAAAAUCAUGUGGAAAUGUUGGUACUUUUGGCAAUAUCUUACUCCUUGAGGGCACUUAAUGGUCUUCAUUCUCCCCAAAGCUUCUCUCACUCCCAGGUAAUAAGCUGAACUCUAACAGAGAUACAGUUACUCUUUCAAUCCAGUAGAGACCACUUGAUUUACCACUCUACUGCACAAAAUGGUACCCUGGUGGCUUGAAAGAGACAAUGGGGAGAAUGUGGCUCAUUAAAUAGUAAUUGAUGCUGCUGCUACUACUAAUGUUAGUAUUGCUGCUAAAAUAACUGUGUUGCUUCUAUUCUGCUUCUUCUAUGUGAUUGAGAAUUAGCAUAGUUCAUUCCCAUGGAAGGUCAAUUGACAGGCUAGCCCAGAAGCAUUGAGUAGCCAAACUGAUUGGUGAGACAAUCAAGAUUUCAAGAUCUCAUAUGAUCCACAUUGCCAGAACCACAUUCUACCUCCUUAAUCCACAAAUGCAUUAUAAAUCCUUACAAAUCCUAAUGAGAUACAGUUUCAUGUAAGUAAAUUUUAAGAUAUUUGAUAUUCCCCUUUGAAGUACCAAUUUUUCUUACUUUCGAAAAUUAGAAUGAAAACCUUCAUGAAAUGGUAUUAUUCACUGCCUACUUUCUUAAAGACUAUCUUCAUCAUGAUCCAACUCCUGUCUGUAUAACUCAGAAUUACCAUUCUUAACAAUAAUUAUGGCACUGUGUUGUAAAGUGGUGAGGCUCCCAAAGGUCACUCUGUAUAUAAUGCUAUGUGCCAUAGUCUUUGGCUGUUGGGUUUUUCUGUUUCAUUUUAUUUUGAUUUUAGAAUGUUUCUGACUCCUUCAUCUUAUCAGGCUUGUCACUUUUUGUAUGUAGCAGUGUACUUUCUAGAGGUGAAUCUGUCUAACUUCUAAAGGCAAAAAAACUUGAAAAAAAGUUGGUAAAUAAAGACUUGAAAAAUAGAAUUAAAGGAUUUUCUUAGAGCCAUGUGACAUCUGUGUUAGUUUUUCACAAGCCUUUUUUUUUUUUUUUUUUUUUUUUUUUGAGAUGUAGUUUCACUGUUGCUGCUCACUCUGGAGUGCAAUGGCGCAAUAUCGGUUCACUGUAACCUCCGCCUCCCAGGUUCAAGCAAUUCUCCUGCCUCAGCCUCCUGAGUAGCUGGGACUACAGGCACCCACCACCUCACCCGGCUAAUUUUUGUAUUUUUAGUAGAAACAGGGUUACACCACGUUGGCCAGGCUAGUCUCAAACCCCUGACCUCAGGUGAUUCACCCCACCUUGGCCUCUCAAAGUGCUGGGAUUACAGGCAUGAGCCACUGCGCCCGGCCUUCAUAAGCCUUUGUUUAUUCCUCCCUGCUUCUUAGUUAUAGUCUUAGUUAUAUUGUUGGAGUUUUAGGAAAAGUAACGUCCAGAUGAGGUAAAUCUUAGUUCAUGUGACAUAAUACUCUGCUUUUAGUGUAUUCUUCUCUUCUCAUUUUAGAGAUUCUAUUUUCUCUUGUAUUGGUAUUAUUUUACAGAAGCCUCUUCAGAUCCUUUUUGGAAGGAGAUAUAAUUUAUACUUGCCUUAUUUCUCUUUUGUGUAUUUGUGUGAUAUUGUAUAUGCACACAAAGGGGCACGUGUAAGUAUGUGUGUGCACGCACACACAUGCAUACAUCAUCUUUUUAUUCAUAGAAUACUCUGCCAACCAUGGUCUCCUUGGAAGGUAUAAGUAUGUCUGCGGUUGUAGAGAACAAUCACUUGCCUCCUGGAUGUAUAUCACCUUUGCCCAGGAGCCCCUGCAAUGUGAGUGGCUGGACUCUGGGGUGGCUGUCUGUCUGCUGCCAUAGAUCCAUGUUCCACAGGAAUAUCUUUAUGCAGCAUGUGAGUCUCCAUUUGAACAAUCAUAUAUUAGGAAUCAUGCUAUUCUUAGGAAUCUUUAGAAAUACCUGAGUACUAAAUUUGUCUCAUAACUUAGCAAAUGCAUAUAACAAAUGAUUUCCUGCACGUUAUUGUCAUACACCAUUUUACCUUGUAGCACAUAACUACUGCUGUCAUCCUUGGAUAGAACUCAGCUAAGUUAGUUCCUCCCUCUUCUAGUAAUCAUAUUUACUAUUGAAUACAGCAGCAUAUGAUGGAAGUGGUCCAAAGUAAAAAAUUGGCUUUAUCACAGAAUCAUAACAUUUUAGCAUUAUAUGAGGCCUUAAAAAUAACACUUUGGAUAGCAGGAAUAUGCAGACUCCAUAAAAAGAAGAGUUCUGUGAAGGGAAGGAAAUGAAUUUUUAUCUAUUGAAUGCUCACUAUGUAUUUGGCUGCUAGACUAAAUGCUAUAGAUACUUUUUCCUAAUUUAAUUGUAACACCAAUCCUAUGGAGUGUAUGCUAUUAUCCCAUUUUACAGAUGAUGAAACUGAGGCCAAGAAGUUAAUUCAUCUUGCCCAACCUUAAAAUUAUUAAAGUCAAGCAGUUAUGUAAACCUAGGUCUCCCUGGCCCUAAAGGCCAUACUCUUUCCAUUGUUCUUCUCUACCAUGUCUCUCCUAAGUAGAAAGUUCCUUUUUUAUCUGUUGUCCAAAACUCAUUUAGCUGGGUUAGUCAUUCACAGCAAUACUGUAAGACUAGCUUAUUCUUUACAGUAACAAUAGAAUCUUUUUCUAAUCCUUUAUUCCUUUCAGGGCAUUGCUAUAUGGCUAUCAUUAUGGUAGGCAUAUUCAUGAAUAAGUCUGUUCUUUUAACAGCACAGUGUGAGUUUAUGAGAGUAGGAUAUAAAAACAAGGAGAGAAAUAGGGAGCAAAGUCUAGCUGUCUCACAGAAGGCAGCCCUAGACCACAAAAGAGGCAUAUGUAGGUCAAUUCAAGUUAGAAAAAAAAAAAAGAUCUGAUGUAUGGGUUGAUCAUUGUUUAUGGAUUUUCUAUUUGACAUUUGAUGUCUUCAAAUAGUAUACUGUCUUUCAAAUGGAAAGUAAAAAAUGUAUCACAUAGACUAUGCUUGAAAAGGUUAUCCACAUCUUAGACAUGCAUACAUUUUUAAAACAACAGCUAUAAAGUCAUGGACAACCAUGUGUCUCUUCGAAAGAAUCACUAAUGAAAAUGGAUAUGAUAUUACCCCUGUAAUGUGCCAACUAUCUACAUUGUUACUAUUAAAGCAUCCUUAAUCAAAGUUUCUGCCAAGUUCACUGAGAAUGUUAGAGACAGUAAAGAUUUGGAGCAUUUUAAUCCACUUAUUCAAUAUAAGUGUGAGCCUGUGGCAGACUAAGAUAUGAAAAAAAAUUCACUGUAAUCAGAUCUUACAAAAUUAUGUUAUAUCUUUGAAAUCAUCCAGCAGAAUGAAUAAUUUUCCUCGGUCUUUCAUAUGCUAAAAGGGAGUAAGGGCAUAAGGUUGCAUUUUUGGUCAUCUGAAGCAUGUUAAAUCAUACAACUUUUUUGAUGCAUAUUAAGAUAACUAUAAAAAUACCAAAUACUUUACUAAAAAGAGAAAGUUUGAAGCACAGCAAACUAAAAGGAAAUAGCAACAGUAACAACAGCAAAAUAUCAAUCUUGAAGACUCCAGCAGUAGGGACCCUCAAAAAUGUCAGGCUGAAAAAAUGAGACACAGCCAAACAGCCCACGGAAACAGUAUGCAGAACAAUAAUCAUUUUGAUACUAUGCCAUUUUCAUGUGGUAGCCCAAUCUGAGGAAGUUAAAGUGAAACAGACUCACAGAGGCUGGAGAGAUUGGUCAACGUUUCACAUAAAGACUGAAAGACUGAAGAUUUUAUACAUGUAGCAGAGAGGCAGGGAAGAAAACUCUAGAAAGAGCCAGCGAAUUCUAAAUGGCCCAAACAUCCAGAGUCUAAUAGUCUAGUGAUUGGUUAAAUAAUUCUUAGCCCUUUAUUUAACCUUGGCUGUUCAGGCCAGAGCUGACUAUUCAAUUGCAGUUGGAAAAUAAAUGCUGAAUGCCCAAAGUACAGAAAUUAUUCUGGAGAGAGGCCAAUGAAUUUUAAGUAUUAUUUUCAGCAUUAGUUAGGUUUUAUUUUUAAACCGUUCUUCAAAAGACUGAUAUGUUCGUUCUUAAUUAUCUUUGCCCCAAAGCAGUUCUGUCCCCUAAAAAAUAAGUACAUCAUAAAGGAAACUUAGACAAAUGCCAAGCUUAAAUAUUUUCCUUUUGCAAACAAUGCUGGCUCCAGAAACACAUUACAAACAGCUGGGAUUGUGAAUUUUCUCUCCUUUAGAAACAAGAAUGUUCUCAUGUCAAAGGUAACCCAUUGUAAAAAAAAAAAAAAUUACUGAUUUUGUAAAAAAUGCACAUCAUCAAUUAGUUCUAAAGAUGUAGUCGCCCAUAAAACCAAGACCACAUGGUGACCUUGGGGUAGAAGAAAAAGAAACAGAUAACCAUUUUGUGAAAAUUUGCGCAUUUUCACCAGUUGUAGCUAAAUGAUUGACAUCUUGCUACAAGCAGCUUCUGUAUGAAUUGUUACAAGGACUGCAGGAAGUUCCAAAGGAAAGAGACAGCAGAGAUCACUAUUCUCAAGAGGCUCACUGUUAGUGGUAUAGUAAACAAAUAUUUCACAUGUAACGAAUUCUUACCCCUUAUAAUUCCCAUAUAAUUUUGAUAAGAACAGAAUCACCUUUGGAAUAAACAAAGAGGUAACAUUUAUUGAACACUUAUGCUAGGGACCAUGCUUAAUCCUCUACACUGUCCCAAUUUAUCAACACUAUAAAAUAAGCAUGAUUAUUAUUCUCAUUUUACAAAUGAGUAAAAUGAGGCUCAGGGAGGCUAAGAAAAUUGCCCUCUGUCACCAAGCUGCUAAGUGGCAGCAUGGGAUUGGGGGACCCAGGCUGUCUGAUUCCAAGGUUCCAUGCAUGUAGCCAUCAAGAAAAUUUACUAGGAAGUAAGGUAUUUGAAUACAAAUUAAUUUUGUUCUCUUUGGCCAGUAACAUUGACUUUGGUAAAAUGACCACAGCAUCAACAUAAAGGCAUAUUUAGGAAUUUCUCCCAGGUAUAGAAGCACAUUUUCAAAUGAUCUUGCCUCUGCUAAACUUUAGUCAGACAACAUCAACACUGAGGUAACACCAGGUGAAUGAAAGUCUCAUUUAGUUUGAAAUUAACUCUGAAAUAUGCACAUUUAAUUUCUAUUACUAAUUCACUUUUGCAAUGGUCAGAGUUUUUCUGGAAACACUGGUAUCUUAAGGGAGCUUUGAAGAGUAAUUAAAAAAAACCACAGGCAAAUAAACUUUCAAUAAAAACAGACAGUCAGGAUUAAAAUGCUUUUCUAUAUUUAGAAACAUAGGAAUGAACUAGCAUUUUUCAAAUUAAUUUGUAAGCCCAGAUUCACACCAAGUGCAUUUAAAACCACUUCUUACACGCCUAAAUGAGAUGAACUAUAAACAGAAGUUGACGCACGCUAAGGUACUCUGCUGAAGGCCUAAGAGUUCUCUUCAAAUGUAAGCUAUGAGGACGAAAUGCCUAUCAUCUGGAAUGUUUCAUCCCAAGACCCUCAGAAGGCUAUGUUAUUACUUACCCUGGAGGCACAAUAGUAAUUUAAAUAUGUAGCCAUGUUAUUUGAUAAAAUCCCAACUGAGUAUUAAACUACAUUGUGGUUCAAUCAAAUUACUACUGCUCUGCUGCUGUAACACACACACACACACACACACACACACACUUGCAUGAACAUAAAUGUAUAUGAACAUACAUGUACCAUAGUAGUACCUGAUGGUAGUGUUAAAAAUAAACAAUAAAGAAGUAGCUUCCAUAUUCAUAUUAAAGUAAAUUCAUAAUCAUUCAUCCACAACCUUCUUUUUAUAGGCUUCAUACACCCUAAAACUGUGGAUGUAAAACUUUCUUCCUGUAACCCACAACAAGAAAUCCAUUUCACAUCAGAACAGUAAACACACACACACACACACACACACACACACACACACACACACGAAACUAAUGUUUCAGCAAAUAAAACUCCUACUGUAUGCAGUACAUUUUCUUUCUCAUUCUAUUUCAUUUUUUAAAGUACAUUUUCUUUUCUUUUUAAAUUUUUUAGAGAUGAGGCCUUGCUACAUUUCCCAGGCUGGCCUUGAACUCCUGGGCUCAAGCAAUCCACCUGCUUCAGCCUCCAAGUAGCAGGGACUACAGGCACACACCAUCAUACUCAGCUUAUUUCUUUUUUAAAAAAUGUUAGGUACAACUGACAAAUUUGAUUUUGUGAGCAAAUAAUGGGUCAUGGAAUACAAGUUGAAAAAAUACUACCCUAAAGUGCCUAAAUUCCAGAGGAAAAGUUCACAGUGAAGUAUAAAACAAGAAUAAAAAUAAGAAGGGAGGCCGAGCACGGUGGCUCACACCUAUAAUCCCAGCACUUUGGGAGGCAGAGGCGAGCGGAUCCGAGGCUAGGAGUUCGAGACCAGCCUGACCAACAUGGUGAAACUCUGUCUCUAUUAAAAAUACAAAAAAUUAGCUGGGUGUGGUGGUGCAUGCCUGUAAUCCCAGCUACUGGGGAGGCUGAGGCAGGAGAAUUGCUUGAACCUGGGAGGUGGAGAUCGCAGUGAGCUGAGAUUGUGCCACUGCACUCCAGCCUGGGCAACAAAAGCAAAACUCCAUCUCCAAAAAAUAAAAUUAAAUAAAUAAAUAAAUAAAUAAGAAGCAGAGAGAAAAAUUCUACUGUUAAAUUCCAAGUAAUGUUUAAAGAACACAGGAUUUGCAUUAGAAGUCUUCCUAAUUGUAUUGCAUCUUAACAGGCAAAGGGAAAAAGAGUUCUUUGGGUUGGGGGCCAAGAAAGUAUCCUAGAUAUCUGAAUUGGACCUUGAAUGAUAAGGAAAAACAAUGUCAUAUCCACUUCACAGAUGAAGAAACACAGGCAAAAGAGGACAAAUGCUCUGUUUGCUCAGUCAUUUAGUCUCCUGUAGAAUUAUCAUGUGAAUUGAAUCCUUACUGUGGUGCCCAGCCAACUUUGUCAGGCUCUUCUGUAACUAAAAGUAAUGAGUCUUGUCCACCCACCUGUGCACAUCAUAGGUACUGUCAGCCAUGUUUGGCUUAAGAGCAUCAUUGACCUCAAUGACCACUUCAGCUUGGGAAAGGCUGCAGCUGGGCUGGGACCCCAGCUGAUGAUGGGGAGACAGAGGAAAUGAAAAUUCCGGAGUGAGGUUUCAAAGACAUCUUCAUUUACAAUUUUGCAUUUAAAAUUUAAUUAAUUCAAAAGUUUUCCAUUUAAAGUUUUAAAUAUUUGAGACUUUAAUUAAAACAGAGAACAUAAGGCCAGACAUAGUGGCUUAUGCCUAUAAUCCCAGCACUUUGGGAAACCAAGGCAGGCGGAUCACUUGAGGUCAGGAGUUUGAGACCAGCUUGGCCAACAUGGUGAAACCCCGUCUCUACUAAAAAUACAAAAAUUAGCUGGGUGUGGUGGUGCAUGCCUGUAUUCCCAGCCACUCAGGAGGCUGAGGCAGGAGAACAGCUUGAUCCCAGGAGGUGGAGGUUAUAGUGAGCCGAGAUCACGCCACUGCACUAUAGCCUGGAGCCUGGGCAACAGAACGAGACUCCAUCUCAAAAACAAAAACAAAAAAACAGCAAACGUAGAGAUAUAUUUCUGACCAUUUCUCUUCAAAAAAGAUUAGUAUGAAGAAUUUCAAACAUACAUAAAUUAAAGAGAAUGGUAAAAUAAUCCCCCAUAUACCCAUCAACUAGAUUCAAAAAUUGGCAAGAUUUUGUCACACUUGAUUUAUUCCCUACAUUGUUCUUGCUGCCAAAGUAUUUUAAAGCAAAUCCCGGCCAUAAUUUCACUCCUAAUUACUUAGUAUGCAUCUCUAAAAAUAUUUUCUUUAUAUAACCAAAAUGUCACUAUUAUACUUAAAAAUUUAAUAAUCCCUUGGUAUCCUGUAAAACACAGCCAAUUCAAAUUUACCAGGCCACCUCAAAAAUUGUUUUAUUAGAGUUGAAUAGUUGAAAUCAGGAUCAAAAUAAGUUCUGCACCUACCCCCCUUGCUAACCCUUACCUUGUACCUAUCAUUUAUAUCCUAUCAUCUCCCACUUCAUUCCCCCCAAUUUCCCAGAAAUUCACUAUACUUAGGAAAUAUAAAUAUUUUAGUUUUUUCUUCCCAAGUCUGCAUGACCACAUUGAAAGCAGCAUAGCUUUUCUGCAACAGUGACAUCCAUCUUUGCAGCUAUCCACGGUAAGGAUAUCUUCUAUUGCAAACAGCAUGCUUAUGUUCUGAUUAGGUUAAAGUAAAAAUGAAAUGCAUAUGUGCUAAGUGAUUAUAAUCAUGCAAGAAAGUUCUUUGCAGAGAAACAGUGAGGAUGGAAUGGCUGAGGUUUGGUGGAGGAUGCUGGUAACCAGUGAUGUGAAUUCCUGGAGAAGUAGAAAUGAGCUAAGUUGAAGGUUAGCCUUGAACCAGAAGAAGAACAUCCUUUCCUCUGAGACUCAGGAAAUGUAAACAUAGGUGUAGGUAUUCUCUGUUGGUAGGAGUUGAGUUGUGGAGUUUUCUUUGUGAGGUACAUGAGACAAGGCCAUUUGCUAAGAGUGCUGGGUUAUAUAAGAGAAGAUAACCAAGCAAACAAAGAGGUAAUGAGUUCUGCUCUGCGUUAGGCAUUGUGCUAGGUUGCAUAUCUAUACCUACACUAUAUACACAAUAUGUAUUAUAUACAUUUUUCUAUGUAUAUGUGUGUAUGUGUGUAUAAAUAUAUAUAUAUUAAAUACAUAAUAUUAUAUAUAUAUAUAUAAAUUUCUAGGCCGGGCGCAGUGGCUCAGGCCUGUAAUCCUAGCACUUUGGGAGGCUGAGGAGGGUGGAUCACGAGGUCAGGAGAUCGAGACCAUCCUGGCUAACACAGUGAAACCCC
rnacentral:lncRNA from 1 species